CCUACGGGCGGCAGCAGUGGGGAAUAUUGGACAAUGGGGGCAACCCUGAUCCAGCCAUGCCGCGUGUGUGAAGAAGGCCCUCGGGUUGUAAAGCACUUUCAGUGAGGAAGAACGCCUGGUGGUUAAUACCCAUCAGGAAAGACAUCACUCACAGAAGAAGCACCGGCUAACUCCGUGCCAGCAGCCGCUGUAAUACGGAGGGUGCGAGCGUUAAUCGGAAUUACUGGGCGUAAAGCGCGCGUAGGUGGCUUGAUAAGCCGGUUGUGAAAGCCCCGGGCUCAACCUGGGAACGGCAUCCGGAACUGUCAAGCUAGAGUGCAGGAGAGGAAGGUAGAAUUCCCGGUGUAGCGGUGAAAUGCGUAGAGAUCGGGAGGAAUACCAGUGGCGAAGGCGGCCUUCUGGACUGACACUGACACUGAGGUGCGAAAGCGUGGGUAGCAAACAGGAUUAGAUACCCGGGUAGUC
rnacentral:rRNA from 1 species